rnacentral:rRNA from 1 species
ACGAAGGGGGCUAGCGUUGCUCGGAAUUACUGGGCGUAAAGGGCGCGUAGGCGGAUAUUUAAGUUAGAGGUGAAAGCCCAGGGCUCAACCCUGGAAUAGCCUUUAAUACUGGAUAUCUUGAGUUCGGGAGAGGUGAGUGGAACUCCGAGUGUAGAGGUGAAAUUCGUAGAUAUUCGGAAGAACACCAGUGGCGAAGGCGACUCACUGGCCCGAUACUGACGCUGAGGCGCGAAAGCGUGGGGAGCAAACAGGAUUAGAUACCCUGGUAGUCCACGCUGUAAACGAUGAGUGCUAGUUGUCGGCAUGCAUGCAUGUCGGUGACGCAGCUAACGCAUUAAGCACUCCGCCUGGGGAGUACGGUCGCAAGAUUA